UGGGUAACCUGCCUCAAAGAGGGGAAUAGCCUCCCGAAAGGGAGAUUAAUACCGCAUAAUAUGUUUAAGUCGCAUGACUUUAACAUCAAAGGAUUUUCUUUUAGAAAUUCCACUUUGAGAUGGACCCGCGGCGCAUUAGCUAGUUGGUGAGGUAACGGCUCACCAAGGCAACGAUCCGUAGCUGGUCUGAGAGGAUGAUCAGCCACACUGGGACUGAGACCACGGCCCAGAUCCGUACGGG
rnacentral:rRNA from 1 species